rnacentral:rRNA from 1 species
CCAGACUCCUACGGGAGGCAGCAGUGAGGAAUAUUGGUCAAUGGACGCAAGUCUGAACCAGCCAUGCCGCGUGCAGGAAGACGGCUCUAUGAGUUGUAAACUGCUUUUGUACGAGGGUAAACGCAGAUACGUGUAUCUGUCUGAAAGUAUCGUACGAAUAAGGAUCGGCUAACUCCGUGCCAGCAGCCGCGGUAAUACGGAGGAUUCAAGCGUUAUCCGGAUUUAUUGGGUUUAAAGGGUGCGUAGGCGGUCGGAUAAAUUAGAGGUGAAAUGUCGGGGCUCACCCCCGAAACUGCCUCUAAUACUGUUGGACUAGAGAAUAGUUGCGGUAGGCGGAAUGUAUGGUGUAGCGGUGAAAUGCUUAGAGAUCAUACAGACCACCGAUUGCGAAGGCAGCUUACCAAACUAUAUCUGCCGUUGAGGCACGAAAGCGUGGGUAGCAAACAGGAUUAGAUACCCGGGUAGC